UACAGAGGGUGCGAGCGUUGUCCGGAAUUACUGGGCGUAAAGGGCGCGUAGGCGGCAAUUCAAGUCAGCUGUGAAAUCUCCGGGCUUAACUCGGAACGGUCAGCUGAUACUGCUUUGCUAGAGUGCAGAAGGGGCAAUCGGAAUUCUUGGUGUAGUGGUGAAAUGCGUAGAGAUCGGGAGGAACACCCGUGGCGAAGGCGGCCAGCUGGGAUACACCUGACGCUGAGGCACGAAGGCGUGGGGAGCGAACGGG
rnacentral:rRNA from 1 species